CAAAACAAAAAAGUGUCCACUGUGUUCCGUGCGUGUUGACAACUGAUUAUUAGUUAUUUGUUGCUUGAACUAUUAAUAAUGUUAUUAUUUUAUGCUUGAUUUGGUAAAAGAUCACCUUCAACAUGCUCAUAGAGGAAGAUAGGAAAACUUUAGAGUUUAAAGCAAGGCCCGUAACGUCCAUAUUUUUAGAUGACGAACGAGCUGAUUAUAAACCUGGCUGCAGUGUUUUAGAAGUUUCUUUUCCAGAACCAGUUUCUAUAGAUGAAGUAAGAUUUCGGAACAACUACACUGCUUACAUUAAGAUGUCAUGUAAACGGGUGCCUGCAGAGAAGGAUGUUAAAAAUAGAGACAUUCUUCCAUGGCAGACAUCGGUGAGGCACUUCAAUUUAAUGCCAGAACCUGAAUGUGAAAAAUGCUCGCAAGACAUAUUCUCUCUUUUGGCUAAAGAAAGUUUAAUUUCCUGGAGUGGCAUUGUGAGCUUGCGAAUUAUAUUAAAACAGCCUUCAUUUCGAUGGAAGAAGUUUGGGAUUGAAGAACUUUCGUUUUUUGGGGAUUCAACUAAGGAUGGUAGACAGUCCUCUGCUUCACAUUCCUCAUCAUCGUCCAGAAAGUUUGAAAAUAGAAUUGUUGUAGUAGAGCCAGAGAAAAGUGAAAAUAUAACAGGAAAAAGUAGAUACAUGUGGACAAUUACAGAUUUAAUGAAAGAUAAACAACCAACAAGUGUAGCUGUUGGCAGAUUUGAGGAUGAAAAUCCCGCCAGUUCAGAGCAUGCAGAUUCUGAAAUAUCCGAUACUGAUGAGGAUGUUAAAAAUUAAUGUUUUGGACUGAAAGCUUCAUAAAAAAUCCUACUUAAAAAUUGCAUGGGAAAAUAUUUCUUUUAUAUUUUUGUAGCCUUCAGGUGGAUGGUUCAUACGAUGUUGCCCACCUGGUCUGACUUCUUAGUAAUCUUAUUGAAAAGCAUUAGUUGUUCUUCAUAAUAUGAUCUUUCAUUUGUUUUAAGAUAGCAUCCUUUGUUCAUCUUUAAGUAAGUUUGUAGUGUCUUUGUUAUGUUUAUUGUACAAAUGUAAAUUUAAUCUGUUAAAAUUAAAGUUAUAGAAAAUAAAUGCUGA